rnacentral:rRNA from 1 species
UACGUAGGGUGCGAGCGUUAAUCGGAAUUACUGGGCGUAAAGCGUGCGCAGGCGGUUCGCUGUGUCCGAUGUGAAAGCCCCGGGCUUAACCUGGGAAUGGCAUUGGAAACUGGCGGGCUUGAGUGCGGCAGAGGGGGGUGGAAUUCCGCGUGGUAGCAGUGAAAUGCGUAGAGAUGCGGAGGAACACCGAUGGCGAAGGCAGCCCCC